AUGGCGCGCGAGGGGCGUACUGGCUCCGCCCUUCCCCGGGCUGGCUGUGGGAGCCCGGGGGACGAGUCUGGAGCUGGCCCUUCCACCGGCCUUUUCUUUUUGUUUUUGAGGAGGGGCCAGGUUAGAGUUGGGGGAGAGCCUGGGAGGAGCGGACCUCUCCCUGCGACGCUCCCUGUGGGGUUGGGUCACCUGUCUGACUCGUUCCUCCUCUCCACGCUCUCUCGCCCUCCUGCCUUUUGCACCGCCCGGGGGAACAGGGCUGGACGCGCGGGCAAUUUGAUUGUGUUUAUUUUUCUGGAGCCUGUGCGUGUUUUAUGUUUUAAUAACUUUGUCAACUCGGUGAACUUUCUCGAGAGAGCACCGGGCAGCUUCUCUCGCCUCUCUCCUUCCCCCUUGUCUCUCACUGGCCUCUGGGUCGCUUCCAAAAGGUUGCUUCCUUCGAGUUUUCCCUGUGAAGCUUCACCUUGGCGUGGUCCACACGGAAGGCAGAAUCAACCCCACUCACAGGUGAGGACCUUGAGCACAGAGAGGCAGGGCCCCUGGCCAAGGUCACACAGUUAAACACAGCCGCUGCAGACCUGAAACUGGAGGGGAGGCUUCCCCUCUGCUCCUCCCCUUCUCUGCUCUCCGGGAUCGCUGGGAGCUAAAUUAUGAAAUAUAAAACAACAGCAAAAUGUAGGGAAUUGGGAAUGCAGGAGGAAAAAAAAAAGUGAGAAAUGAACUCAAUGUUAACUUUUCGUUUGGGCACUGCCUGGGAAGUGGCCCCUCAGCCAGGAGCAGGGGUGACUGGUGGAGGAGCGCCUGCUGGCAAGACUGGUUUCUACCGAGCCCAAGGCUCCCUACCACCCUACCCUUGUUCGAAGCCUGGCACCACAGGGAAGCAUGUCUGUACUCAGUCUGCUGUUGCCCAAUAGGCCCUGACUCGUCUUCCUUCUUGCCUUUCCUCCGGGAGAGGACCUGGCUGUGCCGGCCUCUUUCCCUAACAGAGCAGAAUCUAAGAGGUGUUUCUUUUCUGAUGACUUCAAGGAGAUGUGUUUGAACUUCCAUACCCAGUGUGACCCAGCUGGCGAGAGCCCUUCCAGCCCCACCCAUCCCCAGAGACUCUCUGGAUCCCAGGAAGAUAGUACUGUCUCCUUCCUUAAAUCCCCCAGCUUAAGAAGCCUAGCCUAAACCCUGCUCCUAAUCUUUCGCUGUAAAGUUUAUCAGCUAAAACUUUCCCUUAAAACCUAUGGAAAAUAAAAAUCGGGAUUGGAGCAGAGCAGAUGGUUGUGUUUGCAGAAGCUGAUCUCAUGGCUGUUUUCCCUGGUAUUGCGCUGUAACGCUUUCGGCAGCCCUGAAUUCUAAAGAAUGUCUGCAAGGCGCCUUUCUUCCUGAACAAGAACCUAAAUCCCUCCUCUUGCAACCUCUGCUCCCUCCCAGGCCUUGCGGGGCAGUGAGACACCUACCCACGCAACGCAGUUUCUCCUGCUUUCAGGAUUCUCUGGGGCCGAGAGCCACACAGACAGGCUUUCUCCUUCCACAAGCAUUUCCUUGGAAGGUGCUCCGUCUCUGUGGUGGGCACCGCGAGUCCCAUCCCCGUGCUUCCCGUCAAGUGGGAGAAACCCUGCUACCCAAACCCCAUCACCAACCCAAACUUAGUUCUCUGUGUUACGAGGCAGACAUUCAUCAUGCCACUGUCACAGAGUAUGGAGGGUCUUAAAGUCAUUUAGAGCAAUCCGGGUAGGCUUCAUGGAGGAAGUGAUGUUUGUGCUGAGGUUUCAUGCAUGGACAUAGCGCAGAGGCUGAGGGUGAGGGUGGGUGGGAAGAAGAACCAGCACGGGCAUAUGUUCUUUGCUGGGUCUGAUACCCACUUAUCCGCUGAGAAUGUUUAGCAGAGCCUCUUGUAGCCCAGUCCGCUCUCUGUGGAUGGGAAUUCCUUUUUAUUGAGACUGGUAAAAUGACCUUCUCCAAGAACACUGGUCUUUCUCUAAGGAAUUGAGACCACAUGUUUAGGCCUGGGCUGGCUAGGUGGCUGUACAGGUCGCCAAAGAGAGAAAACCAACACAUUUUUCACCGCUUCCAUCAUCAGGGACUAGCAACUUGAGACCUACCGACUUCUGCCUUGGCCCAGUGUAGUUUCUCUUAUUAAGAGUGUUAACCUUUCAGCGCCCCUGCACGAAAAGAAUUCAGCUUCAGAUGCCUCUGCGAUUUAUGAAGGGCCGGUAGGAGCCUGGUAUUUCCUAAGUAUGACCCCCCGGGGACCCUUCCAGCCACCCUGGGGGACAGAACUUUUCAGCCCCUUUUUGCAGAUGAGAAAAACAAGGCCCAGCAAGCGCUUGGGGCCUGACUCCCACUGUGUGACCGGGAUGCAGAAGAGGGCAAAGUCCCCUUUGACAGCUCAUAGAAUGAGCAUUUUAUGUCACAGAUUCCCAAAGGGUCGAGUUUGGACAGUACUCCGGAGCAACGUUUUUGCUUUUGCUUUUUUUUUUCUUCAACUCCUACCCAGUGGUUGAUCUAUCAACAUCCUGCAAUUUUGGAAAUUUCACUUUAUGAUUCACAAGUACCUGGAAUCUGCAGAGGAUUUUUGCUGUUAGGAGGAAAGGUAAUUGCUUCUCCACUUGAUGCCAUUUCUACUUACAAACGGUUUCAGGGGACCGCUCUGCUUUCGGACACUGAGGAAAACGCCGUGCCGUCUUGGUCUCAACCGCCGUCUCUCCUCCAAUAGGGAAGUCACUGUCUUCUGAUGAAGCCAGGUUGACUUGCAGGUCUUGGAUGAUUCAAAAAAAAAGAUCUUUCCAUCUCUGGACUUCCAGCUAGGCCUAAACAGAAAACAUGACCUUUUCAGAAAAGACGUUUAUUCAAGGUUUAAACUCAGUGGGUGGGCAUCAACAGAAUCAGGUGUGCUAACAGCAAGCCCUGCGUCUGGAGAGGAUACCAGCCCUGCAAAUAAAGGAAGAACCCAGAAGACCAGAUCCGAAUCUCGAAGAGCCCUCGAGGAGCCAUGCUCCCAUCACUCCCUGCCGUCUCCGCUGCCUUCUUAGGAGUUUGAAUUAUGAGGUUAAGUACUUGAAUCAACCAUACUUUUCAGUGAUCUUCCAGUGGAAACCCUUCUGGACCGAAUACCACCAAAGGGAGCCUCUGUGCCUGGGUUGGUGGUGAAGGGUCAUGGAGUUGCCGUUUUUAGACACCCAGAGUCAGCUUCCCAAGUCCACGGGGCACCCCAUGCUUUGCUUCUUGUUGCCUUUCCAGUUGGGUGCUUCCCUGAAGGAUACCUAGUAGCUUGCGCCUGACCUGAAUACCAGUCACAGCAGCCUCCUCAGCUAGAGCCAUUCUUAACGUAUCCAUCCGUCCAACACAUAUUUCCUGAGCUCCUACUGUGUGCGGUGCUGCAGCGAUGCGGUCAACAACAGUCCUGUCCCUGCUUUCAGGACAUUCACAGUGCAGUAGAGGGGAAAAGACAGUGUUUAAAGGACCAGGGAUGAAAUUCAAAUUGAUGCAGAUUGAAUUCCCCUUGGAAAACUUCCCUCUGGCUCCAGAGAAUGGACUAGGGGCUGGGGGAGGGGCGCCACUCUCUGCCACCUGCUACCAUUCUGUGUGACACCGCUAGCACUCAGUCACCCUCUUUUUUAAUUUCCUGCAAGCACCGCACACACGUGCCCUGAAAGGCCUGCGUUUGUUUUCUUUUCCCCCCGGUGGCCAGUCUGCCUUUACAACACACAAUGGAAGCUUCAUGUAGGGAGGCACUUCCUCCAGUUUGCAGAAUUCCUGGAACCAAGAGGGAGCCCUGUCUUCUUUGUUGAGCCCAUGAGGGACUUGUCCCUUAAACUCCAGUAAGGCAGGAAUGCUAGAAGCACCUGGGAGAAGGCACGUGGGAAUUCCGAGAGGCAGUGGGAGGCCCCUGUACCUGGUGGGAAAGCCCUGCUGGCCUGAGCUGUUGUCACUCAAGGGGCUCCGGUCUGCUCCCUAGGAAUCCCUGGGGGAUUUGGAAAGAAGAUUUUUCUUUGUUGUCAUAAUUUAAUUGCUGGUUAGCACUUCCAUCCAAGUUCAGCGAUAACUUCUGGAAUUUGCACCUGAAGAACUUUUUUCUUCUUUCAUGCUCCACUCCUACCCCCCCCCACUGCUCUCUUCCCAGAAAUGGGUGCCUGGCCGAAAACCCAUGUACUUAGCAGUUGGCUGUGGGAGCACAUGAGUAAUCUCCCACCUUCAUCAAGGAUGGAAGAAAUGGAAAACUUGAUCCCCAGGUGGCUUCGCCGGAAGUGGAAAAAAAAAAAAAAA
rnacentral:lncRNA from 1 species